AUACGUAGGUGGCAAGCGUUGUCCGGAAUUAUUGGGCGUAAAGCGCAUGUAGGCGGUUUGGUAAGUCGGUCGUGAAAAUGCGGUGCUUAACGCCGUAUGGCGAUUGAAACUGCUGAACUUGAGUGCAGGAGAGGAAAGGGGAACUCCCAGUGUAGCGGUGAAAUGCGUGGAUAUUGGGGAGAACACCGGUGGCGAAGGCGCCUUUCUGGACUGUGUAUGACGCUCAGAGGCGAAAGCCAGGGUAGCGAACGGGAUUGGAUACCCCGGUAGUCCUGGCCGUAAACGAUGGGUACUAGGUGUGGGGGGUAUCGACUCCUUCCGUGCCGGAGUUAACGGAAUAAGUGCCCCGCCUGGGGAGUACGGCCGCAAGGCUUAAACUCAAAUGAAUUGACGGGG
rnacentral:rRNA from 1 species